rnacentral:rRNA from 1 species
AUUGAACGCUGGCGGCAGGCCUAACACAUGCAAGUCGAGCGGCAGCGGGACCUUCGGGUUGCCGGCGAGCGGCGGACGGGUGAGUAAUGCCUAGGAAUCUGCCUGUUAGUGGGGGAUAACGCGGGGAAACUCGCGCUAAUACCGCAUACGUCCUACGGGAGAAAGUGGGGGACCUUCGGGCCUCACGCUAACAGAUGAGCCUAGGUCGGAUUAGCUAGUUGGUGGGGUAACGGCCCACCAAGGCGACGAUCCGUAACUGGUCUGAGAGGAUGAUCAGUCACACUGGAACCGAGACACGGUCCAGACUCCUACGGGAGGCAGCAGUGGGGAAUAUUGGACAAUGGGCGAAAGCCUGAUCCAGCCAUGCCGCGUGUGUGAAGAAGGUCUUCGGAUUGUAAAGCACUUUAAGCCGGGAGGAAGGGCUGUAGGCGAAUACCCUGCAGUCUUGACGUUACCGGCAGAAUAAGCACCGGCUAACUUCGUGCCAGCAGCCGCCGUAACAC